rnacentral:lncRNA from 1 species
AUGGUAGUGUCAUCCCCAACUGUUUCUCCUUGCUUGCUUCCCAUCCUUACCUGCGUAUUGAUUUGUCUCAGUAAACAGUUUGUGUGGCUGCAGAGUGAAUUAGGUUGGGGAACUAAUCCAACUCUCUUUCUCCUCUCUUUUCUAGGGGGGGUUAUUUUCCUCAAUACACUUCAGCCUGUGCCCAUACCAGCAGUUUUCCUGGCACAAAUAAGGCUGUGGUGUGAGGUUUCACCUCAAGUCUGCCACUUCUUGUGCUGUAGAUCAUAGCACUUGAGGACUUUGGCUGAGGGACAGCCCAUUCACUCCUUUCCUGUGUAUCUCACAACUUUGCCAGAGCUGUAGUUCCCUCAGGUAAACAGUUUCCUUGCCUUCCUUCUUCCAGGGGUAACAGUAAGAUUUUGCUCUUUUUCUAGUGCUUUUUACUUACAGCUUGGUAAGCACCUUCUCAUUUUUCACACAGAAAAAUAGACAUAGAUGACUGAGUGCAUUGGUCUCCAUCAGACUCUGGAAUAGUUAAAUAUCACUUCACCCCCCAACAGAGCCUUAAUCUGAAGGACUUUUCAUCUCCAGAGUACAGCAGUUAGGUAAGAUUUAAUGAUUUUUCUGAGUCCAGAAAGAUGACAAGGUGUCAUUGUGUAAAGGAAAAAUCUGCAUUCAGGCUGGAGUUCUGCAAUUAUGCUGUUAACUCUUGGAAAAAAAUAAAAAUCACUUGCUUCAGGCCA